GCCCCCGUAGCUCAGUGGACAGAGCGGCUGCCUUCUAAGCAGCGGGUCCCAGGUUCGAGUCCUGGCGGGGGCA
rnacentral:tRNA from 1 species